CUCCAUAUCAACUGCCUGGAACUAUUGGCAGGUGCAUUCGCUAUUCGCAGCCUCACGCCGGAACGGGCGAAUUGUUGCGUGAUGCUCAAGAUGGACAAUGUAUCAGCGGUCCGAUACAUCAAUCACCUGGGAGGCACGAAAUCGCGCAUGUUAGCUCUCAUGGCGAAGGACUUCUGGCAAUUUUGCCUUCGCAACAGCAUUUCCGUGCAGGCGGAACAUAUUCCGGGUCUGGACAACUCAACGG